rnacentral:lncRNA from 1 species
CGACAGUUUCCUAAGCUCCAUAUUUUCCUGACCAUGUUCUCCACAAAUCAUGCCUACAAAUGUUUCCCAACCAGUUACAGGCAGUUACGGCCCCCAUAUUUUCCUCCCACUUUGCGGAUAACUUCAUAUGCAACUUACGCUCAUCAUAAUCCUUCCUUUUGUAGCAAAAAUUGUGUUCGAUCACCUUCAUCCUCACUCUUAUUUCAUACCCCUAAUAUUUUUCUUCCUUCUCGAAUUCACAUCUAAAUUGGUGAAAUCAGAAGGUUCGUCCGUGUGAUCACAAUGCAUUUAACAUAAAAGAAGAGACGGAUGUGAAAUCACGCAACGAAGAACAUAUAUUACAUGAUGGAGGGUGGCCCAAAUUUUGUUUAGGGUUUUCAGCAGGUGAACGCUCCACCAUAAAUCGUACUCCAUUGUUGGAAGUAUCAGGUGAAAGCUUCAAUCAAACGUGUUUUGGAUGAGGUUAUGAAGGUGAAAAGGCAAAUUAGACAUCUGUAGAACCCAAUUCGAGGUGAAACUAUAAAUUAUCUUAGAUUUUCAACCGGAAUGAAAUGAUUGACGACCGGAUUUAUUUGCGUCACUGAAGAGAUUCCUUUGGGUAUGACAAAAAAGAUGCAUACUUUAGGCGUCUUUGGAGGUCUAUUUAAAGUUUUUACUUACUAUUCGUUCAUAGAAAUUAUUUUACUUGACAUGUGAUCACCCAAGAGUGGGAGGCAGAAGAUUUAUGUGGCUUCUUGGGGUAUCCUGAAACAACAGAAUUUUACUAUAUAUUGCAGGGGUUAUGUUUUAUUCGUUGGAAGGAACAAGAAUUUUGUAGCCAGACCCUCGCUGGUCCACACCCAUGUGACUUUGAAUGAUGAAGCCAAUACUUCUCUUUUACAGAUCUGUGUAGGAAUGGCCUCUGAAAAGGUAAACUCAACCCGUAGGUGUAUCGGCCAGCUGAGACAACAAUUACAAAAGAGAUGGUUCAGCAAGUGAUAGGUGGCCUCAUGCCCCCUGAGCAUUCAUAGCGAUGGAAGAUAUGAGAACAACUUUAUAUGGGUCAUUAACUCCAUCUGGAACCUUGAGACCAAUAGCCAUUGAGUUAGUUUGGCCACCUAGCAAUAGGAAACCACAGUGGAAGCAAGCAUUUUCUUUCUCAUGACUGGGAUCCACCAGCUUGUAAGUCACUGCUGGUUCGCCCAAUUUACAAGCAAAUGGUAGAGCUGCAAAAUGCAAAAUAUAAACUGCAAAUACACUUUUGGUUAUAAACCAGAAAAAAGGGUCGUUAGCUUUGAGUAAGGGUGUUAUGGUAAUCCAACUACCCAUGUUUUUGAGGAACAUAUAAGGAAACAAGAGAGGAGAAUGGGCUAAACUUCUUCGGUAUCCACUCCGAUCAGCCACCAAAUCCGAGGAUGAAAAGCUUCUUGAAUCCGUCCCGUCAACUGCUUCAAUGUCUAGAAGGUUUAUUUUGGUUCCAAUAACUAUAUUGUGUUUUAUACGCUUGACUUUUCAUUAGCUUAUGCAUCUGUUUG